rnacentral:rRNA from 1 species
UACGGGGGGAGCAAGCGUUGUUCGGAUUUACUGGGCGUAAAGGGCGCGUAGGCGGCGUGACAAGUCACUUGUGAAAUCUCCGGGCUUAACUCGGAACGGUCAACUGAUACUGCUUUGCUAGAGUACAGAAGGGGCAAUCGGAAUUCUUGGUGUAGCGGUGAAAUGCGUAGAUAUCAAGAGGAACACCUGCGGCGAAGGCGGGUUGCUGGCCGACACUGACGCUGAGGCGCGAAAGCCAGGGGAGCGAACGGG